UCUUAUCCUUCCCAGGCUGUGCAAGCCCAACGGCCUACCCUCGGUUGCCUUUCGCCCCCCCAACCCCUUCGGCCUUUACGUUCCAUGCGCAAGCGCGGGGCCCACUCUGCAUCGCAUCGCUGCGUUUCUCGCUUCGCUUUGCGCUCCUUACGUCCCGCAGCACGGAAACGAUUGCGGGCCCCGGCAAGACACACACAUGCACAGAGAGAGAGAUGCAUGCAUACACCCAAGGCUACUCCCCUCCGCCUGCCGCGCGCGUAAGUGCGCACUGCCCAGCACGCCCUCGUGAUAACCAACUGCUUCCUUACGAGAGAGUAGCAGAACAAAAUGAGUUUCGUAGCAGACAUACGGCAAGUAUCCCUCACGCUAGGCGCGUCGGCUCUGUUCCGUUGUCUCCGUGUUCCGUCGGCUCUGCAUCGGUGUUGGUGUCUGUGUGUCUCCUUCAACCCUCGGCCUUGGCUGCUUAAACGUGCGCCGUCACCAGCAAGUGCGUAUGGUGCUGACAUCUCGCUCUUCCUAUACCUCUCUCUCUGCCGGCGUGCGUCCCUUUCUCUUUGCGGUCGAUGUCUUCCCGAUCACUCACCCCUCCCGGCACCCUUCCUCCCGCACCAUCGCAG
rnacentral:misc_RNA from 1 species